rnacentral:rRNA from 1 species
AUUGAACGCUGGCGGCAGGCCUAACACAUGCAAGUCGAACGGUAACAGGAAACAGCUUGCUGUUUCGCUGACGAGUGGCGGACGGGUGAGUAAUGUCUGGGAAACUGCCUGAUGGAGGGGGAUAACUACUGGAAACGGUAGCUAAUACCGCAUAACGUCGCAAGACCAAAGAGGGGGACCUUCGGGCCUCUUGCCAUCGGAUGUGCCCAGAUGGGAUUAGCUAGUAGGUGGGGUAACGGCUCACCUAGGCGACGAUCCCUAGCUGGUCUGAGAGGAUGACCAGCGACACUGGAACUGAGACACGGUCCAGACUCCUACGGGAGGCAGCAGUGGGGAAUAUUGCACAAUGGGCGCAAGCCUGAUGCAGCCAUGCCGCGUGUAUGAAGAAGGCCUUCGGGUUGUAAAGUACUUUCAGCGGGGAUGAAGGGAGUAAAGUUAAUACCUUUGCUCAUUGACGUUACCCGCAGAAGAAGCACCGGCUAACUCCGUG